ensembl:snRNA U6 U6 spliceosomal RNA
GUGUUUGCUUUGGCAGCACAUAUACUAAAAUUGGAAAAAUACAGAGAAGAUUAGCAUGGUCCCUGUGCAAGGGUGACAUGCAAAUUAAUGAAACAUUCCAUAGUUUU